rnacentral:rRNA from 1 species
UCUGCUCAAUGUUUAAUUUAAUUAAUCUAAUUAAUAAAUAAAUAGCUGCAUUUUGUACUAAGGUAGCAUAAUAAUUUGCCUUUUAAUUGGAGGAUAGUAUGAAUGAAAAAUCAAGAAAAAAGCUGUCUUUAUGUAAUAAAUAAAAAUUAAUAUAUAAGUGAAAAAGCUUAUUUUAAAUAAAAAGACAAGAAGACCCUAUUGAGCUUUUUCUAAAAAAUAAUAUUUAGAUUUUGUUGGGGCAACAUAAAUUAAUAAAAUCAAUUUUAAAUUUUAAGAAUAAAUUCAAUAUUAAUAACGUAUUAUAUGCAUUAUUAAAAAGUUACCAUAGGGAUAACAGGCUAAUUUUUUUUAAGAGUUCAAAUUAAUAAAAAAGUUUAGCACCUCGAUGUUGGCUUAAGAUUUCUUUUAAAAGUAGCACUUUAAAAUGUUGGUUU